GAUGAACGCUAGCGGCAGGCUUAACACAUGCAAGUCGAGGGGUAUAGGUUUUCGGACCUGGAGACCGGCGCACGGGUGCGUAACGCGUAUGCAAUCUACCUUUUACAGAGGGAUAGCCCAGAGAAAUUUGGAUUAAUACCUCAUAGUGUAAUGAUUCGGCAUCGAGACAUUAUUAAAGUUCCAACGGUAAAAGAUGAGCAUGCGUCCCAUUAGCUAGAUGGUAAGGUAACGGCUUACCAUGGCGACGAUGGGUAGGGGUCCUGAGAGGGAGAUCCCCCACACUGGUACUGAGACACGGACCAGACUCCUACGGGAGGCAGCAGUGAGGAAUAUUGGUCAAUGGGCGCAAGCCUGAACCAGCCAUGCCGCGUGCAGGAUGAAGCAUCUAUGGUGUGUAAACUGCUUUUGUACGGGAAGAAACACUGCUACGUGUAGCAGCUUGACGGUACCGUAAGAAUAAGGAUCGGCUAACUCCGUGCCAGCCGCCGCAGUAA
rnacentral:rRNA from 1 species